rnacentral:rRNA from 1 species
CUGGCUCAGGAUGAACGCUAGCGGCAGGCCUAAUACAUGCAAGUCGGACGGGAUUSARRUWWWAGCUUGCUWWRAWMUSAUGAGAGUGGCGCACGGGUGCGUAACGCGUGAGCAACCUACCCAUAUCAGGGGGAUAGCCUCUCGAAAGAGAGAUUAACACCGCAUAACAUGAGUAAGGCAUCGUUUUUCAAUCAAAUAUUUAUAGGAUAGGAUGGGCUCGCGUGACAUAGCUAGUGGAGAGGUAACGGCUCACCAAGGCUACGAGUCUAGGGGCUCUGAGAGGAGAAUCCCCCACACUGGUACUGAGACACGGACCAGACUCCUACGGGAGGCAGCAGUAAGGAAUAUUGGUCAAUGGAGGGAACUCUGAACCAGCCAUGCCGCGUGCAGGAUGACUGCCCUACGGGUUGUAAACUGCUUUUGUCAGGGAAUAAACCUUUCCACGAGUGGGAAGCUGAAUGUACCUGAAGAAUAAGGAUCGGCUAACUCCGUGCCAGCAGSCGCGGUAAURSGGAGGAUCCGAGC